AGUGAACGCUGGCGGUAGGCCUAACACAUGCAAGUCGAACGGCAGCACAGUAAGAGCUUGCUCUUACGGGUGGCGAGUGGCGGACGGGUGAGGAAUACAUCGGAAUCUACUUUUUCGUGGGGGAUAACGUAGGGAAACUUACGCUAAUACCGCAUACGACCUACGGGUGAAAGCAGGGGAUCUUCGGACCUUGCGCGAUUGAAUGAGCCGAUGUCGGAUUAGCUAGUUGGCGGGGUAAAGGCCCACCAAGGCGACGAUCCGUAGCUGGUCUGAGAGGAUGAUCAGCCACACUGGAACUGAGACACGGUCCAGACUCCUACGGGAGGCACCAGUGGGGAAUAUUGGACAAUGGGCGCAAGCCUGAUCCAGCCAUACCGCGUGGGUGAAGAAGGCCUUCGGGUUGUAAAGCCCUUUUGUUGGGAAAGAAAAGCGGCAGGUUAAUACCCCGCUGUUCUGACGGUACCCAAAGAAUAAGCACCGGCUAACUUCGUG
rnacentral:rRNA from 1 species